UACGGAGGGUGCGAGCGUUAAUCGGAAUAACUGGGCGUAAAGGGCACGCAGGCGGGUUUUUAAGUGAGAUGUGAAAUCCCCGGGCUUAACCUGGGAAUAGCAUGUGAGACUGGGAGUCUAGAGUACUUUAGGGAGGAGCAGAAUUCCACGUGUAGCGGUGAAAUGCGUAGAUAUGAGGAGGAAUACCGAAGGCGAAGGCAGCCCCUUGGGAAUGUACUGACGCUCAGGUGCGAAAGCGUGGGGAGCAAACAGG
rnacentral:rRNA from 1 species